ensembl:scaRNA
UCGGAGGUAUAAGAAGGUGAAACUACUGAAGCCUAUAGUUUCCACUGAUACCCACCUCCAAAAUCAAUGUGGUCGUGUGAACCGCCUGAUCUCGAGUCUUAGAUCUUGUGUGCUCUGCACCUACCCACAGAC